rnacentral:rRNA from 2 species
UGCAAGUCUGGUGCCAGCAGCCGCGGUAAUUCCAGCUCCAAUAGCGUAUAUUAAAGUUGUUGCAGUUAAAAAGCUCGUAGUUGAACCUUGGGUCUGGCUGGCCGGUCCGCCUCACCGCGAGUACUGGUCCGGCUGGACCUUUCCUUCUGGGGAACCUCAUGGCCUUCACUGGCUGUGCGGGGAACCAGGACUUUUACUGUGAAAAAAUUAGAGUGUUCAAAGCAGGCCUUUGCUCGAAUACAUUAGCAUGGAAUAAUAGAAUAGGACGUGCGGUUCUAUUUUGUUGGUUUCUAGGACCGCCGUAAUGAUUAAUAGGGAUAGUCGGGGGCGUCAGUAUUCAGCUGUCAGAGGUGAAAUUCUUGGAUUUGCUGAAGACUAACUACUGCGAAAGCAUUUGCCAA